ACCGGGCCGCGUUUGUUUUCUUCAGUGGGCAGCGAAAGAGGGGUCUACCGUCUCCGAGUCUCGUCACGCCAUGACACACGACUAGGACAAUAUUUGUCGUUUACUAUGUUUUAGCAUUGAUAUAAAGAUUUUCUAGGAUAUAGAGAAUCCCGAAAAUGUGUCGUCAUUAUGCCCUACACUUAGCGACACAAUGCAGGAGACGCCGUGCAGUUUUCAAUGCAAUGUGCAUUGUCCUUAUUUUGAUUGUAGGAGGAAAGUGUCGAUUGGGUUAAGACUGAUCUGUACAAAAGUGGCUUUUCUGUUGGACACAUUUCAAAAUACAAUGUAGGAAAAACACCAGAAUUGCCUAGCUACAGGGCGCCGCCAUUGUGGACACCCAAAGUUGUGCGGAGAAGAAAAGUUGACAGGAGAUCUGAUUGGUCAUUAACAGAAAAUCUUUGUGAUGGAAUUUAAUAGUGAAAUAUAAGUGAUAAAAAUGACAGGUGACGUAACAGAAUAUGUAGAAAGAUACAGAAGUUAUAAGGGAAGAUCUGAGUGGAGAGGUGAUAUUUGGAUGGACAAUUUCAUUCAGUGCGGAUCUACACUAGUUGUAAACAGGCCAAAAUUUGAAGGAAAAACGCAACGGCAAGCCAUAUAUUUUUUGGUGGAAUUUUGAAGGGGAGAUGAUGAACUUUGCUGAAUGGUGACUGAUUUUUUGAAAAUUGGCUUAAUAAAUAAUUGACAGUGAUUGGAAUUUGUAUGGAAGUCUAUGGGAAAACAUUUGGUGGUGUUUGUCCUAUACUGAGGUAGCGAGAACCAGUUUAUGAGGGGUCUUGGCCGAAGCAGUCGGUGGCACCCAGGCCUGAGCAUCAUUUCCUGCUCCUCGCACAGAGAGGGUGGAUGCGUCACCAGUUGUAGGGUUUCCCAGUCAACUCUCAUGAAUGGUGCAGGAAAAACACCAGAAUUGCCUAGCUACAGGGCGCCGCCAUUGUGGACACCCAAAGUUGUGCGGAGAAGAAAAGUUGACAGGAGAUCUGAUUGGUCAUUAACAGAAAAUCUUUGUGAUGGAAUUUAAUAGUGAAAUAUAAGUGAUAAAAAUGACAGGUGACGUAACAGAAUAUGUAGAAAGAUACAGAAGUUAUAAGGGAAGAUCUGAGUGGAGAGGUGAUAUUUGGAUGGACAAUUUCAUUCAGUGCGGAUCUACACUAGUUGUAAACAGGCCAAAAUUUGAAGGAAAAACGCAACGGCAAGCCAUAUAUUUUUUGGUGGAAUUUUGAAGGGGAGAUGAUGAACUUUGCUGAAUGGUGACUGAUUUUUUGAAAAUUGGCUUAAUAAAUAAUUGACAGUGAUUGGAAUUUGUAUGGAAGUCUAUGGGAAAACAUUUGGUGGUGUUUGUCCAGUAGUAGCUAUUACUUUCAAUUUCACUUGAAACCGUUUGUGUCAUAGACUAAUACCACGUACGAUUUACUAAACUUUCGGUUUCACUUUCGCAGCACAACUAUGGCCGAGUAUGAAAUCAACAAUCCUAUGCAUAAAUAUGCGAUUGGUGUUGUAAAGGACAGUGCAGUAGUUGGACACGUGCCUCGAAAAAUAAGAGGAACAAUCCUGCACAUCAUUUGUGGAAACGGAAGAGUUAGAGGCAGAACAGGAGGAACAAUCAUGAACAUCAUUAGUUGAAAUGGAAGAGUUAGAGGCAGAACAGUCAUUUCACCCAAGGAGGCAUGCAUAUGGAUUUAGGCUGUGAAAAAGAACCCCAAACAAAAUGGCGGCUGGUGAAUUAGAUAAAGUUUCUGAGUGUAGGAUCUGAACGGAGAAUAGGAAUACUGCAUCCCAUCUGACCCUGCAGGAAGAAAGACCUCUGGCAAAGACAAGAACAAAGGAGGGAGAACAUUUCUGGAAAUUUAUGAAAUCUUCAGUGUGUUUGGACACAGGAGCUAUGAUAUCCAUCCAUUCUGGUUGCCUCGGGAUCGAUUCUUGUGAAUAUAGAAAAUUGGAAAUUCAAAUGUUGGUUAUUUUACACUUUAAAAAUGCUUACUGCUUAGUCCAAUAUCUUGAAAAAUCUAGUCUUUUGUGAUUUUUCAGGCAAAUUAAAUCUCCAACACAUGUAUACAUUUUUGAUAAAUUACCCCAAGGACCCUAUAUUUUUUCAAAAGCAAUAUAUAUCUGAAGUAAAUAAAACCAUUUUUGUUGGGUCACACAAUGAAUAGAAAUGACAGAUGUAGUGCUUAUAUCAUGGAAUUUCUGUAAACAGAUGAUAUUUUUUACACAGGUUUUAGCUCACCUGAGCCAAAAGCUCAAGUAAGCUUUUCUGAUCAAAAUUUGUCCGUUGUCUGUCGUCGUCGUAAACUUUUCACGUUUUCGACUUCUUCUCAAGAACCGCUGGCCAAUUUCAACCAAAUUUGUCACAAAGCAUCCUUGGGUGAAGGACUUUCAAGUUUGUUCAAAUUAAGGGCCAUGUCCCGUUCAAAGGGAAGAUAAUCACAAAAAUGCAAAAAUAGGGUGGGGUCAUUUAAAAAUCUUCUUGUCAAGAACCACUGGACCAGAAAAGCUGAAAUUUACAUGAAAGCUUCCUGAUAUAGUGCAGAUUCAAGUUUGUUCAAAUCAUGGCCCCCGGGGAUUGGAUGGGGCCACAAUAGGGGAUUGAAGUUUUACAUACUGAUAUAUAGGAUAAAUCUUUAAAAUUCUUCUUCUCAAGAACUACUGAGCCAGAAAAGCUGAGAUUUACAUGAAAGCUAUCUGACAUAAUGCAAAUUCAAGAUUGUUCAGAUCAUGGCCCCUGGGGUAUGAUGGGGUCGCAAUUGGGGAUCAAAGUUUUACAUGCAAAUAUAUAGGGAAAAUGUUUAAAAUUGUUCUUCUUAAGAACCACUGGGCCAGAAAAGCUUAGAUUUACAUGAAAGCUUCCUGACAUAAUGCAGAUUCAAGUUUGUUCAAAUCAUGGCCCCUGGGGGUAUGAUGGGGCCACAUUAGGGGAUCAAAGUUUUACAUACGAAUAUAUAAGGAAAAUCUUCUUCUCAAGAAUCACUGAGCCAGAAAAGCUGAGAUUUACAUGAAAGCUCUCCGACAUAUAUUUCAGAUUUCAGUUUGUUAAAAUCAUGGCCCCCAGGGUAGGAUGGGGUCACAAGGGGAAUCAAAGUUUUACUUACAAAUAUAUAGGGAAAAUCUUUAUAUAUGAGCUAAGGUGACUCAGGUGAGUGAUGUGGCCCUUGGGCCUCUUGUUUAAAGCCUUUCAUAAUUACCAAAUUUAAAAAUUGGUCUGAAACUGGAAGGUACAAACGAAUCCAUUACCAUUUUUUAAUAUUCAUAACCUAGUAUGUUCUGUUGACAUGUUUUGUUUAGAAUUUUGUUCAGAGAAAUGUAGUUCAAAUGAUCACAAAAUAUACACUGUCAUUGGUUUUGGUAUACAUAUAAAAGGUAAAUCCUGGUUUACCAUGUUCAUAAUAUAUGCCAUGCAAUAGAACUAAGUACUCUGUUGUUUAAACUGUGUAUUGUUAUAGGAUUUUCGUUUAGUGUUUAUGACUAUCUCAUGUGAGCAUUACUGCCUAUGAUAUUUUCUCUUUAAAUAUAAUUGUUUUGAAAAUAUGUUGAUAAAUGACCACUACAGUUUGAUUCAUAUGUAUAUUAUCUGAGUUCAGAAUGUUCUCUUGUGUUUUGUCUUAUUGAGAUGAUAUAUUGUGCUCUUUGACUUAAUAAUGCUGCUUUAAGGCAUAAUUGUUGGACCUAUAGUGUAUUCAUUUUCAAAUGUAUUGAAAUAUAAUUUUUGAUAAUAAUGAGGCAAUGCUAUACUUGUUAGGGUAGUAAUGCACCAGUAAUUCUAAUGUACAUUGAUGUCUUACCCGAAUGUUUUUAUUUGGUUUUUGAUAAGAAUUUUAGGUCAUAUAGGUAAUCUCUGGUGACCUGUCUUCUGAGUAAAUUCAGGUAACAAUUGAACAUUUUGUUAGAAAAACGUAUUCAUAGUCAGGUAGAGGAGGAAGGCCUUUACUAAAAAGAUGUCGUAAUCCAUGGGGUAGGGUUUCUGACUCUGGGGUAAGACCAAACUUGGUAUACAUAGUGCAUAUGUGUUAAAGGCAUAGGAUCUAUCUUUUAUCUCAAAAAUGACAUCACAAUAUUUUGCAAGAAGAACUCCAAAAAACAAAUUUGUAGUAUUAAUUAUGAGUUAUCUAUAGCUGCAGCGCUUUGAAAUUUAAGUCGUUUUGACGUUUUAGCCCUAUUUAAAAUUUUUGUCAGGAGGACAAUAUAUUAAACUGGUACCCCGCUGAUUGUUGGCUACACACAAACAUAAGAGAUGCGAAAUCAACAGGGUACCAAUUUAGGCAAAUGAGAACAGGGAAUUAUUUUGUGAUUACUAUCGUUAUCCAAUGUGUUUGUAAACAUUCUGAAUAACUUUGUGUGAUUUUCUAGUUAAUAUGAUCUUAAAUUUCGCCACCUUUUUGGAACAUGCAACAUUUCACCAAUAUCUUAGACCCUAUGCCUUUAAGGUAAUUCCACCCCUGUAGAAUUAUAGGUUCAAUCUUAUAUUUGAUUAAUGAUUAUCUUAGUAACAAAUAAAAAUGAUAAGAUAAGUAUGUUGCAGCAUUGAUAAAAAGAUUUAUCAAUUAGCACGCAUAUACCUGUUAUUGAUGUCAGAAAAUUACAAUUGUCAUUAAAUACAUUUCAUUAUCACAAAAACUUGUUAAAACGAUAUAAUGGUAUUCAUAACAAUUUCAUGAAACUGUUUCUUAAAAAAAAUAUACAAUAUGUUUGUGAAAAGUAAAAGAUAUCUAUGCAUAAAAAAUGAUAAAUAAUUUAAUGAAAAAGGAGUUAUUACCCUUGGAUUCGGUAUUUCGAAACUCAUACGUGACUUUUGAAAUAUCUUAUGGUUAACAAGAUAUUUUACAAUAAUUAUUGAAAAAGACUUCAACAAAAUUUAUGUUCCCAUCAUGCAUAAAUCUUAUCAAAUCAUUGACUUUGCGAAAUCUUAUGACAUCACAGGAGAGUGGAACUACGUUACACAAUUAUAAAAUAUCUUUUUAGCUCACUUGAGCUGAAAGAUCAAGUGAGCUUUUCUGAUCGAUUUUUAUCCGUCGUCUGUCUGUUAAACAUUUACAUUUUCAACUUCUUCUUCAAAACCACUGGACCAAUUUUAACCAAUGUUGGCACAAAUCAUCCUUGUGUGAAGGGGAAUCAAAAUUGUUCAAAUGAGGGCCAAUCCCCUUAUCCAAGGGGAGAUAAUAGCAAAUCAGUAAAAACACACUGAAAUUUUUUAAAAAUCUUCUCCUCCAGAACCAGUAGGCCAAUUUCAUUCAAACUUAAUGCAAAUCAUCCUUAGUUGAAGGGAAUUCAAAAUUGUUCAAAUUAAGGGCCAGGUUUUCUUCAAAGGGGAGAUAAUCACAAAAGUGUAAAAAUAGGGUGGGGUCAUUUAAAAAUCUUCUUCUCAUGAACCACUGUGCCAGUAUAGUUCAAAUUUACAUGGAAUCUUCCUGACAUAAUGCAGAUUCAAGUUGUUCAUAUCAUGGCCCCCAGGGGUCGGGUGGGGCCACAAUAGGGGAAACCAUAUUUUAUAUGUGUUUAUAUAGAAAAAAUCUUUUAAAAUCUUCUUCUCAAGAACCAUUGAGCCAGAAGAGUUCAACUUUACAUGGAAGCUUCCUGACAUAAUGCAGAUUCAAAUUUGUUCAUAUCAUGGCCGCUGGGGGUCGGGUGGGGCCACACUAGGGGAAACCACAUUUUAUAUGUAUUUAUAUAGGAAAUAUCUUCUUCUCAAGAACCAUUGAGCCAGAAGACUUCAAAUUUACAUCGAAGUUUCCUGACAUAGUUCAGAUUCAAGUUUGAAGCUUUAUGACAUAGUUCAAAUUAAAGUUUGUUGAAUUCAUGGCCCCCGGGGUGUCAGGUUUUGCCACAAUAAGGGAAACCGUAUUUCCUAUGUGUAAAUACAUGUAUAUGAUAACUCAGGUGAGCGAUGUGGCCCAUGGACCUUUUGUUUAAAGGUUGAUAUUAACAUGAAACUAAAUUAAUAUGUGGUAGUCCUUAACCAAAAUUGUAAAAUACAUGAUUUCCUGGACAAGGGUUUAGUUUCCAGGAUAAGGCCAAGAUUAUAGUAGCAACUAUUGUCUUUAUUGUGAUAUGGUAAAUAACUAAAUGCAUGCUUAUUAGAAGCAGAACAGGAUAUACCAAAGUGGUGAUUUACACAACCCCAGGGUUUUGACUGUACACAGGUCCAAAGUAGUCAUAUUAUUUAAUGUUGUAUAUAUAACGUCUCCUUAUUAGUGAAAUAUUCUCGAGAGGGACGUUAAACAAUACACAAUCAAUCAUCUGGACUGUAUAGACACUUUCGGGGCAUUCAAGUUUUAUGAACACAUCUUGUUUUAUUCUGUUUUGUAUGUUAGGAUUUAAUUUAGGUAUGCAGAACAGGAAUUUUUCUCAAGAUUUCAUAAUCCUUGGGGCUAGUGAUACUUUAAAUUAAUUCUCAUGUACCCAAUAAGGCCUGUGGGGCUUUUAUUUCAUGAAAUGCAUUAAAUUCUGAUUGAUAUGUCUUUUGUAAUUUUUCAUGAAAUGGAUGAAAAUCCUGUAUGUUUUAUUAAUAUUUGACCAGCAACCAUACUUGAAAAUGAUUUGUAUGACAUGCCAGUUUUUGUUACAAAGUAACAAUUAUGUAAUGAAUAAAUUUCAUGUUAAAGUUAA